GUAACUUUUAAUCGUUGCAGAAUAAGGGUGGAAAGACCGGUGCCAGCCGCCGCGGUAAUACCGGCACCUCAAGUGGUCGUCGCUUUUAUUGGGCCUAAAACGUCCGUCGCCUGUUUGGUACAUUCGUGGGUAAAUCAAGCCGCUCAACGGCUUGAAUUCUGCGAGGACGGCCAGACUAGGGACCGGGAGAGGUAUGGGGUACUCUCAGGGUAGGGGUAAAAUCCAGUCAUCCUGAGGGGACCACCUGUUGCGAAGGCGCCAUACUAGAACGGAUCCGACGGUCAGGGACGAAGCCUAGGGGCACGAACCGGAUUAGAUACCCGGGUAGUCCUAGGUGUAAACGCUGUGGACUUGGUGUUGGGGAUUCUACGAGUAUGCCCAGUGCCGGAGUGAAGAUGUUAAGUCCACUGCCUGGGGAGUACGGUCGCAAGGCUGAAACUUAAAGGAAUUGGCGGGGGAGCACAGCAACGAGAGGAGCGUGCGGUUUAAUUGGAUUCAACGCCGGAAAUC
rnacentral:rRNA from 1 species